rnacentral:rRNA from 1 species
UACGAACCGUACGAGCGUUAUUCGGAAUUACUGGGCUUAAAGGGUGCGUAGGCUGUGCGGAAAGUUGGGCGUGAAAUACCUCAGCUUAACUGAGGAACUGCGUUCAAAACUACCGUGCUCGAGGGAGACAGAGGUAAGCGGAACUGAGGGUGGAGCGGUGAAAUGCGUUGAUAUCCUCAGGAACACCGGUGGCGAAAGCGGCUUACUGGGUCUCUUCUGACGCUGAUGCACGAAAGCUAGGGUAGCAAACGGG